AAACCAACAGGGAUUGCCUUAGUAACGGCGAGUGAAGCGGCAAAAGCUCAAAUUUGAAAUCUAGCACUUUCAGUGUUCGAGUUGUAAUUUGAAGAAGGUAACUUUGGAAUUGGCUCUUGUCUAUGUUCCUUGGAACAGGACGUCACAGAGGGUGAGAAUCCCGUGCGAUGAGAUGUCCAAUUCUAUGUAAAGUGCUUUCGAAGAGUCGAGUUGUUUGGGAAUGCAGCUCUAAGUGGGUGGUAAAUUCCAUCUAAAGCUAAAUAUUGGCGAGAGACCGAUAGCGAACAAGUACAGUGAUGGAAAGAUGAAAAGAACUUUGAAAAGAGAGUGAAAAAGUACGUGAAAUUGUUGAAAGGGAAGGGCUUGAGAUCAGACUUGGUAUUUUGCGUUCCCUUCCUUUUUGGUUGGGUUCCUCGCAGUUUACUGGGCCAGCAUCGGUUUGGAUGGUAGGAUAAUGACAUUGGAAUGUAGCUUUACUUCGGUGAAGUGUUAUAGACUUUGUUGAUACUGCCUAUCUAGACCGAGGACU
rnacentral:rRNA from 1 species